UUAUUAUUAUUUUUUUCCUCACCGCGCCCUAAGUUUUUCCCUGACCCAUCGCCGAACCCCCUCCCUCUCCUCUUCAUCUCACCGAAACCUUCAUCUUCCUCCUCGUUGAGCCCGCGCCGCCGCCCAAAUCCUCUCUGUCGCGUGCCCUAGCCUCACCCGACGCUGCCCCUUCCUUUCCUCAGCCCGAGCAGCGACAAUUUCUCUCUUUUCCCCAAGCUUUUCCUUCCGCCUCUCUUCAUCGCCGCCGCCCUUAGAGCUCCGACGCUGUCCAGUGCCCGUUGCCCGACAGACACCGGCUAAGCCGUGGCCUAACCUUCACGCCGUUCCCUAGUCCCUAAUCUCACCACUUCCUCACCCGAUCUUCUCCCUUCUCCUCUUGUCACCGCCGACCGCCACAGCCGACGACGACAGCUAGCCACUGCAGCACCUUCUACAUCCUUCAUUUCAUUCCAGCAGAUUGUCGAUUCCUGCUCACCAAUGCUGCCAUCAGUCUUGGUGGCACAGCCUACUGCCUAGAUGCCGGAAGAUGGUCUCGAAUUGGAUCCGUUGGCACAGAUUUGAGGUACAUAAAUUGGAUAAUGGAUUUGAUAUAUGGGGUGUUUGGGUUGGAUGACCGUAGCUAGACCUAGUGCUGAUUCUUUCCGUCAGCAAUCAUCCUCAGCUGUGAGACAACAGCGAAGUCUUCAGGUUUGGGACUUUGAUUUGAUACGACCUCACUACGUGGGAUCUCUCUAAUACGAUCUUUUUUU